GUUUUUAAUUGCUUAAAAUUGAAUCUUGUAUAGGUUCCCUAUGUAAAACAUCCAGAUUUUUCUCCCUUUUAACAUGUUUUUACUGAGUGAAUUGUUUAAACGGGUUUUUAAAUCCUCUUUUUUCCUUAGGUUGAUUUUUCUGUGACAUAGUAAUCAACUUAAUUUAAUCAUUUUGUGUUUUCAAAUUUAAUUUUUUUUUUUUCAAAUUGGAACAUAAGAUAUUUCCUAAAUCUAGUCUAGAUUUAGAUCCACUAGAAGUUUUCAUUUUUAAUUUUCAUUAUCCAAAAUUUAUUAGAUUUUUUAUGCAUGUCAUAAAUUAAAAGGGCAUGCAUUUCUCUUAAGUAAUGUCAUGGUCUGCAAUUUAAUGAUGGACUGCAAAUAGUUAUACUAAAUUGAGUUAUGCUACAAAACAAAUAGUGAUUAUUAAUUAGUACCAUACAUUAAAUUUGCCAUUUUUAUUUUUUUAUUUUUUUUUGUGAAUAGUGGAUUGAUAAAAGUUUAUCUAUAUUAGCAAAAAACAAUUAAGUUGAUUAGAGUCUGGCUUCAAAACGAUAGCCAUUGUUUUAGUUUGUGUACAGUCUGAGAAACACUGCUUUAGGAUGUACAUAACUGGGCAUUACAUUUGCUGUUUAUUCAUUCAUUGAUUGUACAGUCAUAUGUCACAAUUGUCAUUACUGUUCUUUGCAUGGCACAUUGGCUUAAGAAGGCUUAAUUUGACAAUGUUUAUUAAAAUAGUUCUACAUCAACUCAAAA